rnacentral:rRNA from 1 species
UCUAACCUACGGGGCGCAGCAGUGAGGAAUAUUGGUCAAUGGGCGGAAGCCUGAACCAGCCAAGUCGCGUGAGGGAAUAAGGCCCUACGGGUCGUAAACCUCUUUUGCCGGGGAGCAAGGGCCGGGACGAGUCCCGGUCCGGAGAGUACCCGGAGAAAAAGCAUCGGCUAACUCCGUGCCAGCAGCCGCGGUAAUACGGAGGAUGCGAGCGUUAUCCGGAUUUAUUGGGUUUAAAGGGUGCGCAGGCGGGCUGUUAAGCCGGCGGUAAAAAUUCAGGGCUCAACCCUGUCGAGCCGUCGGAACUG